CCUACGGGCGGCAGCAGUAGGGAAUAUUGCUCAAUGGGGGAAACCCUGAAGCAGCAACGCCGCGUGGAGGAUGAAGGUUUUCGGAUUGUAAACUCCUUUUGUUAGAGAAGAUAAUGACGGUAUCUAACGAAUAAGCACCGGCUAACUCCGUGCCAGCAGCCGCGGUAAUACGGAGGGUGCAAGCGUUACGCGGAAUCACUGGGCGUAAAGAGCGCGUAGGCGGGAUAGCAAGUCAGAUGUGAAAUCCUAGGGCUUAACCAUAGAACUGCAUUUGAAACUGUUAUUCUAGAGUAUGGGAGGGGUAGGUGGAAUUCUUGGUGUAGGGGUAAAAUCCGUAGAGAUCAAGAGGAAUACUCAUUGCGAAGGCGACCUGCUAGAACAUAACUGACGCUGAUGCGCGAAAGCGUGGGGAGCAAACAGGAUUAGAUACCCCUGUAGUC
rnacentral:rRNA from 1 species